CGCCUCAGGGCUGGACGCAGGUGUCGGUCGGGCCCGCGACGCCUGGGAUGGACCCUUCCGGCCGGGUCUGGGCCCAGCGGGGCCCGUAGCGCCUCCACCCGCCGGUGCCUUAGCAAUCAACCUGGCAGCCGAAGCCCUGAGCACCCCGGGCUGCGCUGACAGGACUCCUCGUGCUGAGAAUUGGCUCAUAUCGGAGUAGAGCAGGCCAGUUUUUGAGGAAGGGCUGCCUUGAAAGCACUGCAGAGUCCUGGUAAUCUGUGUCCAGUAACAUUGCCAGCAUCUUUCAACUCCUCUCUGACACCAGUCCUCAAGAUGGAAUCUCUCCUCAGAGCUCCAAAAGAAUUAUCAUACAUUUCCACUCAACCAGCUGAGAUUUUCCAGGUGCUUUCAGUGAUUCUGGAAGACAACAAUUGCUAAACAACCCUUGAAGCCUUUCUCAGCUGGUUCCAUCCCAGCUGCUCUUCCAAGAAGCUUGUGCUUGACCCGAUGGCUGCUGCUUCUCUUGUUCAGCCCUCUUACCUGCACAUCGGCACAGAUUCAGACGUGGAAAUCGCCAUAACCCACACAAGGGUCCCAGUCACAGCAUGAUCCCUGCUUCUGGGACAGAUUAACAGGAUGUUACUCUGGCACUUUCUGAACUGUCACUCAAUUCCUGCCCCAAACAGCAGUUUGUUGUGCUCCUUGCAAUAGCAGGAGGGGCUGAAUAUCUUGGGAUAACAUUGAAGACCAAAAAGGGGUGCCUUCUACUUUGAUAGAACUUCAUCUUCUUCCGCAGGUAAAAAAUGCAGCUGUGAAAGUGAAGUGCUUUCACUUUCAUUCUGGUAGGUGAAGAAUAGCUUUCCAGCAGUACGAAAAAGCAGUAGUUCAAUGCCAGGACAAACAUGAUUUUACAU